CAGCAAUAUUAUCGCUGACAGUCCGGUUCAGGCCUGUCCCCCGCCAUUCCGGACAUGCACACGGCAGCCUCACCCCCCUCUCCGGGCUGUCGUGAAUGAUAAAAGGCCGCCGUGGCUUCCCUCCGCCACGGCGGCACUUU
rnacentral:sRNA from 1 species